CCUACGGGUGGCAGCAGUGAGGAAUAUUGGUCAAUGGACGAGCGUCUGAACCAGCCAAGUAGCGUGAAGGAUGACUGCCCUAUGGGUUGUAAACUUCUUUUAUAUGGGAAUAACAUGUUCCACGUGUGGGAUUUUGUAUGUACCCUAUGAAUAAGGAUCGGCUAACUCCGUGCCAGCAGCCGCGGUAAUACGGAGGAUCCGAGCGUUAUCCGGAUUUAUUGGGUUUAAAGGGAGCGUAGGUGGAUUGUUAAGUCAGUUGUGAAAGUUUGCGGCUCAACCGUAAAAUUGCAGUUGAAACUGGCAGUCUUGAGUACAGUAGAGGUGGGCGGAAUGCGUGGUGUAGCGGUGAAAUGCUUAGAUAUCACGAAGAACUCCGAUUGCGAAGGCAGUUCACUGGACUGCAACUGACACUGAGGCUCGAAAGUGUGGGUAUCAAACAGGAUUAGAUACCCGGGUAGUC
rnacentral:rRNA from 1 species